GAUGAACGCUGGCGGCGUGCCUAACACAUGCAAGUCGAGCGAACGGACGAGAAGUUUUCGUGUAUGAGGUUGGCGCCGGGCGGGUGAUUCCCACGUGUCUGACCUACCUAUAAGACUGGGGUACUUACACGGGACCGGAUCUCACACCCGACAAUAUUUUGAAACGCGUGGUUCAACCGUCAGAGACGGUCCUGCUGUGCCUAAUAGCGUGUUCCUCGCUGCAUUAGCUAGUUGGUACGGUAAAGGCAUACCAAGGCUACGAUGCAUAGACGACCUGAGAGGGUGAUCAGCCACACUGGAACUGAGACACGGUCCAGACUCCUACGGGAGGCAGCAGUAGGGAAUCUUCCGCAAUGGGCGAAAGCCUGAUGGAGCAACGCCGCGUGAGUGAUGAAGGUCUUCGGAUCGUAAAGCGCUGUAAGUAGGGAGGAAGAGAAGUGAGUGUACCCGUGGAUAUCUUGACGGUACCUACAGAAUAAGCACCGGCUAACUACGUG
rnacentral:rRNA from 1 species